rnacentral:rRNA from 1 species
AGAAGAGCCGCAGUGAAUAGGCCCAAGCGACUGUUUAUCAAAAACACAGGUCUCUGCUAAACCGUAAGGUGAUGUAUAGGGGCUGACGCCUGCCCGGUGCUGGAAGGUUAAGAGGAGUGGUUAGCUUCUGCGAAGCUACGAAUCGAAGCCCCAGUAAACGGCGGCCGUAACUAUAACGGUCCUAAGGUAGCGAAAUUCCUUGUCGGGUAAGUUCCGACCCGCACGAAAGGCGUAACGAUUUGGGCACUGUCUCAACGAGAGACUCGGUGAAAUCAUAGUACCUGUGAAGAUGCAGGUUACCCGCGACAGGACGGAAAGACCCCGUGGAGCUUUACUGUAGCCUGAUAUUGAAAUUCGGCACAGCUUGUACAGGAUAGGUAGGAGCCUUUGAAACGUGAGCGCUAGCUUACGUGGAGGCGCUGGUGGGAUACUACCCUAGCUGUGUUGGCUUUCUAACCCGCACCACUUAUCGUGGUGGGAGACAGUGUCAGGCGGGCAGUUUGACUGGGGCGGUCGCCUCCUAAAAGGUAACGGAGGCGCUCAAAGGUUCCCUCAGAAUGGUUGGAAAUCAUUCAUAGAGUGUAAAGGCAUAAGGGAGCUUGACUGCGAGACCUACAAGUCGAGCAGGGUCGAAAGACGGACUUAGUGAUCCGGUGGUUCCGCAUGGAAGGGCCAUCGCUCAACGGAUAAAAGCUACCCCGGGGAUAACAGGCUUAUCUCCCCCAAGAGUUCACAUCGACGGGGAGGUUUGGCACCUCGAUGUCGGCUCAUCGCAUCCUGGGGCUGUAGUCGG